CGUCUUGUGUAGUAACGUUUUUUUAGGUCGUUUUUAGGUUAGAAAAUGUCACUUCGGUUGAUUUUACCGGCCUGAGUGUUUAAUCCUACAGUUAGCAGCGCCGUAUUUAAACUGAUUAUCGCCUGUGCUCGGACUGCAUCUACACAAAUCAGCUGUUUUACGGUAGGGUUUACUGUAACACCAGUUAACGACAGGGAACCGCUCCUCAUCGGUUAUGGAACACACUGCGGUCCCCGCGCUCAUUGAUACACUGUCGUACUUCUUUAGGGAAUUACUUCUUUGGCAGUUGUGAGCAAAACGGGGAUAUAAGCUUCAGUCCAUCGGUAGAAAUCGUUAUAUCGGAACUGAACAGAGUUCUUGGGCGUGUUAUAAGUGUAAACAGGCCUAGUAUUGACCAGCGAUAGUAAACUGAACUUUUCCGAGACCCAAAGUUGUCAGGCAGCGCAUCUUGCACGCAUGCGCAUCCUUCUAUCCAGCAGCUCUAAAUAAGAGUUAAAACAGAAACGAGGUUGGUGAUAUCAGAGGAGUGGGAAUGACCGACACCCCACCCAGUGAUGGCCCCUCCCAGGGAGCUGAGUUUGAUAUGAUGGGUGCCCUGGACUGGAAGGAUGGUAUUGCAACGCUGCCUGGAAGUGACAUCAGGUUCCGCAUGACAGAGUUUGGGACUCUUGAGAUUGUCACAGACCUGGAGGUCAAAGGUCAGAAGCCAGAGCCUAACCGCAAGGCCUUGGACCCAGCACAGUCUCACACGCCCACUCCUCCACCGGAGGGCCAAUCACAGACUGUCACAGCUCCAGCUAAAGCCAAUCAGAGUCAGCCAGGAUCGUCUCAAAGUAAAGCCCCCGGUCCUGUGCUUCUGUCUCUAGAGGAAGGCCCCACUAUGGAGGGCCCCAGUGUGGAGGUUGGUCCCAGUGUGGAGGUUGGCCCUAAUGCAGACACAGGCACAAACGGGGAGCUGUCAAGGUGCCGGGCCUGUGGUGGCCGUGUUCCCCGGGACGCCCUCCUUCAGGGCAAAUUCUGUAGCUCUAUUUGUGCCCAGCCCUCCAGCGGCAGAUCGUCUCCAGCAGAAGCAAGGGAGAGUCAAGCAGUUGAGGGUGAGAGGCUGGGUAAACGUGUGCGCAAAAAGAGGAAAAUCUAUAUGGAUUCUGGUGAUGAAGAGGAAGACAACCAAGAAGAACCAGAGGAAAAGGCCAAGACGACCAAGGGAAGAAGAGGUGCCAAAAUUGCUAAACUGGUGACUGCCCCAGCCAAUAAGAAGCGGGCAUGGAGCUGGCCGGCUUACUUGGAAGAGGAGAGAGCCAUCGCUGCUCCUGUUAAACUAUUCAAAGAGCACCAGACGUUUCCUCAGAGCAGGAACAGUUUUAAGGUGGGGAUGAAGCUGGAGGGGCUGGACCCGUCCCACCCCUCUCUGUUCUGUGUACUAUCUGUUGCAGAGAUCCAAGGCUACAGAGUAAGGCUCCACUUUGAUGGUUACCCAGAAUGCUACGACUUCUGGGCCAAUGCUGACUCGUGGGAUAUGAAACCAGCUGGCUGGUGUGAGAAGAAUGGGCAUAAGUUAUUGUUGCCGAAAGGCUGUAAGGACGGAGACUUUAAUUGGAGCAUGUAUGUGAAGAACUGCAGGGGUCAGCUGGCCCCAAAACACCUUUUCAAAAGCCUCAACACAUCUGUGACUCCAUCUGGAUUCAGAGCAGGGAUGAAGCUGGAGGCGAUCGACAGGAAGAACCCCUCGUUGAUCUGUGUAGCAACCAUUGCUGCUGUUGUGGACAACCGACUGCUCAUUCAUUUUGAUAACUGGGACGACACAUAUGAUUAUUGGUGUGACGCUAGCAGUCCAUAUAUCCAUCCUGUGGGUUACUGUGAAGAGGCUGAGCUAACUCUGACUACCCCAGCUGGUAAGACACAGACCAAGACACACGUGGAAUAUAAACAACCUAAAAGUUUCUCAUGGGAGAAAUACCUGGAAGAGACGGGCACACAGGCUGCUCCUGCUCGGGCUUUCAAACCGCGACCUCCACAUGGCUUCCAGAUUGGGAUGAAAGUGGAAGCUGUGGAUAGGAGGAACCCCAUGCUCAUCCGUGUUACUACCGUAGUGGACACAGAGGACCACCGACUAAAGAUUCAUUUUGAUGGCUGGAGUUCAGAGUAUGACUAUUGGGUGGAGACGGACUGCCCUGAUCUGCACCCUUUAGGAUGGUGCCAGAAAACAGGACACCCACUGCAAUACCCGAACGGCUCCACUGAGUUAGUGACCGCCCCGGGACAAGGAUGUCCUACCCCAGGAUGCAACGGGGUUGGCCACAUUAGAGGACCUCGCUAUGGGACACACUACACUGAGGUGAGCUGUCCCUACUCGGAUGUUAAUCUGAACAAAGAGGGCCUGCUGCCAGAUCGCCUCAGCGGAGAACGACCCGUCGCCCUCAGUGGACCUCACCCACGUGGGCGACGUCCGGACUUUCCCACAAACACUACGACGCAGAGCUCCACAAUGUCAGAACAGCCCGAGGGAGCUGAAGACCCCCAGAACAGGAAACCGGUGACAGUGGAAGCUGAGCGUUUGGGACGCACCGCUCAGCCGGAGCCAGCAGGUGGCACCAGCGAGCCGAGCCACAAUGGAACCAGGCCCAAACGAACUGCUCCCGUUCCCAAAUACUUGAAAAUGCACUACGUUAAAGAGGAGAUCGGCCACGGCAAAGCCUCUCCAGAUGCCAUCUCUCUCCAGCAGGCCCUCCACGAGUCAGUGUUCUCCCCCGGCCUCUCCGCCUCCCCCCCUCACCGGGUGGCUCUCUGCUGGGACAAACACUGCCAGCUGCUGCCUGAGGUCCUCGGGCUGACUGCCAAGCGAGUGGCCACUUGGAGCGCUGAGGAGGUCGCCACAUUUGUCAAAGGUUUACCAGGAUGUAAAGAACAUGCUGCUAUAUUUAAAACAGAGCCAUUUUUCCUCCUGGUCUCUCGCGCCCCCCCCCUCGGCAUGCCUCUGCGCCCCCCAGGGGGGGCGCGCCCCCCACUUUGAGAACCACUGGUCUAACAUAACGGCUCCGCGGAUUGGUCUAUUUGGACCAAUGGGUCCAUUUGGGUCGUCGUUACGUCACUUAGUACCAGGAAGAAAACGAGAAAUCUCCAACGAGGCGUUCUGAGGCAGCAUAGACAGCAAAUAGAUGGCGAGUCCUUCCUGCUGCUCACCCAGGCGGACAUCGUCAAGAUUCUGUCCAUCAAGUUAGGGCCCGCCCUCAAAAUCUACAACUCCAUCCUCAUGUUGAAGAACGCAGACGAAGAGUAGAAACUCCAGAGACUGAAGAGGAGUUGCUCCCUCCUUUCAUCGACACUCAGCUAUGAAGACUUUUGAUCAAAUCAGCUACAACAGCUUUUGUCUGUGGAGCUCUGCGACAGAGCGGAGCAGCAUCACCAGAGACAGAGGCGGAGGUCAUCAUCUCAGAAAAAACGUCCACCUCUCCCCCCUCUCCCCCUCCUCUCUCCAUGAUGGACAGUACUGAUCAACCCGAGGGAGAGGUCACUUUGAUACUUUAAGUUUUCUUGAUCUCUAUCGUGUUUGUUUACUGAAUCAUUUAAAAAAGAACUACAGGCACCUUCAAUGCUUCUUAACAUUGUACAGUUUUUGAAUUGGAUUUAGUGUUUCGUUAAUGAAUGGUGCUCGGGCUAAGAGCAGAUGGAACAAGAGCGUUUGUGCUUUGUUGCAUUUUUACUUAGCAACAGAUCUUUUUUUAAAGGUGCAAAAUACAAUCGUGGAGGGCGAGAGGUUUUUAAAAUGUGAAACCCAGUGGAGCAGAAGCACUAUGUAGUUCAGCUGUUCUCCUCUAGAUGGAGAGCGUGGGCAGCUCCACGGGCCCGCAGGCGAGACGCUUUGAUUAGAUUGGAGCUGAAGCUUGGGUUGAAAGGGGGAUGGUAAAGACUUUGUGUGUGCAGAUGUGAGAGUGUUUGAGAAAUAAGGGUGUAAUUUCCCAUCAGCCCACGUGUUAUGUUCUGGUCAGAGGAUUGUUUUGUGGCAGGCAUGGCUAAGGGCUAAAUGUUCAAUCAAGAAACCUUGCAGUCGUUUAAAGUUGAACGAGACCGCUUUAUCUCGGUCUCCUUUGUUUGUUAAUGGGAACGGCACAUGAAAAUGAAUGUUUAAAAAACAGCUUUUCUGUUGUUUUGUUUAUAUUAUCUUGUUUAUUUUCAUUCACAUUGUAAAUAGUAUACAGCUACAAAUAGACUGUCCUCGCUCCCUAACAGAGUUUACUCCUGCUUGGUUAUGCAAAGGCUUGACAUCUGUCGACGAGGAGAGGACGCUGUGACAGUGAAAACAUACGAGCCUCAAUUCAUACAAAGAUUUUGAGAAAAAAAGAAACAAAACAAACAUUGUCAGUGUCUUUGUGAGUUGGAAUGUGUACAUCAGCAACUGUUUAUAUGCAAACGGCUUUUAUUUAUGUAUUCUAAUUUAAAGGGUAAUGGUACGCUGUUUUUGGCUCCGAGGUAAGCUGUGGCUCUUUGACGGAAAGUGUGUGAAUGGGUGAAAAUAAAUGAGAUGCACACUG